rnacentral:rRNA from 1 species
GACGAACGCUGGCGGCGUGCCUAACACAUGCAAGUCGAACGCGAAAGUCCCGCAAGGGAUAAGUAGAGUGGCAAACGGGUGAGUAACACGUGGGUGACCUGCCUUCAAGUGGGGGAUAACGUCCCGAAAGGGACGCUAAUACCGCAUAACAUGCCGCCUUUUAACAGGCGGACAUCAAAGCCGGGGAUCGCAAGACCUGGCGCUAGAAGAGGGGCCCGCGCCUGAUUAGCUAGUUGGUGGGGUAANGGCUCACCAAGGCGACGAUCAGUAGCCGGCCUGAGAGGGCGGACGGCCACACUGGGACUGAGACACGGCCCAGACUCCUACGGGAGGCAGCAGUGGGGAAUUGUUCGCAAUGGGCGCAAGCCUGACGACGCAACGCCGCGUGGAGGAUGAAGACC